rnacentral:rRNA from 1 species
UACGUAGGGGGCAAGCGUUGUCCGGAAUCAUUGGGCGUAAAGCGCGUGUAGGCGGUUCAGUAAGUCUGCUGUGAAAGUCCAGGGCUCAACCCUGGGAUGCCGGUGGAUACUGCUGGGCUAGAGUACGGAAGAGGCGAGUGGAAUUCCCGGUGUAGCGGUGAAAUGCGCAGAUAUCGGGAGGAACACCAAUUGCGAAGGCAGCUCGCUGGGACGUUACUGACGCUGAGACGCGAAAGCGUGGGGAGCAAACAGG